rnacentral:rRNA from 1 species
GACGAACGCUGGCGGCGUGCCUAACACAUGCAAGUCGAGCGAAUGAAAUUCCUUCGGGAACGGAUUUAGCGGCGGACGGGUGAGUAACACGUGGGCAACCUGCCUCAUAGAGGGGAAUAGCCUUCCGAAAGGGAGAUUAAUACCGCAUAAGAUUGUAGUACCGCAUGGUACAGCAAUUAAAGGAGCAAUCCGCUAUGAGAUGGGCCCGCGGCGCAUUAGCUAGUUGGUGAGGUAACGGCUCACCAAGGCGACGAUGCGUAGCCGACCUGAGGGGGUGUGCGGCCACAUUGGGACUGAUACCCGGCCCAGACUCCUACGGAAGGCGGCAGUGGGGAAGAUUGGACAAUGGGGGAAACCCUGAUGCAGCAACGCCGCGUGAGUGAUGACGGCCUUCGGGUUGUAAAGCUCUGUCUUCAGGGACGAUAAUGACGGUACCUGAGGAGGAAGCCACGGCUAACUACGUGCCAGCAGCCGCCGUAACAC